CAGGCUGUUGGCACGGAAAUAACUCAGAGACUGGUCAGUCCAGGGCAGGGUGCUGAAGUCCAGAGAUGGGAAGAGGGUAUCUCAGGUCAGGGUAGGCUGACUUGCCCCCUCACCGCCUCUGAUCUGCCUUCUCCAGCAUCUUCCUGCAGUGUCUUCGGGGUCUUCAAAUCUUUCUGCAAUAGGAAUUUUGUUCCCAAAUGCCAAACAAGACUUGGUGCAGGUAGAAUUCAUUGUGUCUGACCCAGCAUAUACCUCGGGAUAGUGAGCAGUCCCUUUGUGGCCCUGAGCUGUGGUACAAGAGCAACCUGUGGACCCCCAGGGCAAAAGGUCUCUGUUGCACUGGUCCAGGAAGCUGGGUUUUGAUUUGAUCCAAUGGAGUCUCCUUAACUUUCCUAAAGAAAGGUCCCUCUGCUAUUAGAGAGAUCACCUCUCCUUUCUCAGAGCAGUACUCUCAUUUUCAAACCAGCAUCCUCACCAAAUGGCGAAGAUCACAACGUUGGAACUAGCUUGGGCUCAGAUCCAGUCUGCCCUUGAUCGUCUGGUGUAUCUAAUAUCUCUGGGCUCCUGUUUCCUGCUCCUAAAGUGGAACCAACAACACUGCUUGACCAGGGCUGUUAGAAAGCCAAGACCACGAAUGAGAAAUGUUGACCACCGUGACCACACACAGCUGGCGCUGUGCAGACAGGAGUGCCUCCCUUCUCAGAGCUCCACCUUCCCCUCUGCAAGGGAAUGAAUCUCCAAUCAUUUUACCCUGAUGGGCCCCAUCUACUGCCUGCCUCACAAUGACUAAGAAAACACAAAUAUAGAAGAAAAAAUACAUUCAUGAAAUGAACACAGCAUGCGGAAUCAAAGAUCUCGACCUAUGAGAAAACGUAACUCAGAAAAGGGAAGGGAAUGUGUCAUCAGGGUUUCAUGCUAUAGAAUGACUUGAUAGGAAUAUGAAUUUAAAAUGUAAAAGUUCAAACAAAAAAUAAUAAAACAACAGCAGGAGAUGAAAAAGAAAAUUUAGACGUAGGGUCCCAGUAGGAAACAGAAGCACACUGAUGGGAUUUAAUUACAGGGCGAGGGAUGUCACCCGAGUGCUGGUGACAGCAGGGAGCUGUGCCAGCCCCAGGCCCGCAAGGGCAGGCAAAGAGCCGGUGUCAUCAGGAGCAUGAAAGAAGGGCCCACCCGCCGUGGAGGACGCUGAGAGAGAUGGGCUGUGAGCUGGGUGCUGGCUGCCUUGAAUGAAACUGAGGUUUACAGCUGAGAGUGAAGAGGAGGAUGUGAAUUGGGUAAACACAACAAUCCCUGCCACAAAUAGGCAACCUUUCCUCACUCUGCAAGUGCUGAGCACAUUGUGAAGGAUGAGGGGAAGGAGAAGAAAAGAAAGACGAAAGUGACGUAGAUGCCAAUAUUUAAAGAUUUGCAGUCUGAUAUGGAGACAAAUAUGUAAUCAAUGGGUUUCUCAGGGUCUCUGCUGCCCUCAUUAAAGUGUGUCUAAGGAUUGAUGUACACACACUAUUGUAUUUACAACAGAUAACCAACAAAGACCUGCUGUAGAGCACAGGGAACUCUGCUCAAUAUUCUGUAAUAACCUAAAGGGGAAAAGAAUUUGAAAAAGAAUAGAUGUAUGUAUAUAUAGACAUAUAUAUAUCAGAGAAGGCGAUGGCACCCCACUCCAGUAUGCUUGCCUGGAAACUCCCAUGGACGGAGGAGCCUGGUGGACUGCAGUCCAUGGGGUCGUGAACAGUCGGAUAUGACUGAGCGACUUCACUUUCACUUUUCACUUUCACGCAUUGGAGAAGGAACUGGCAACCCACUCCAGUGUUCUUGCCUGGAGAAUCCCAGGGCUGGGGGAGCCUGGUGGGCUGCUGUCCAUGGUGUCGCACAGAGUCGGACACGACUGAAG
rnacentral:lncRNA from 1 species